GGUGAAUGGGGUGCUGGCCUAGUGUUCACCUGGAGGUGUGGGUGUGGCCCGCCAAGGGUGGGAGUCUGAUGCCGACUUUUACUCCAAGCGCGAAUAUUCUGAGGGGCAUUGAGCUGACAGAUUGGCCCUCCCUGGAACCCUGGAGUCCCGGUGCACCCCCUUCACCAAGCACUGCGUCAGUGCUGUGAGAGUCCUGCCCCAGUCUCUUGAUACUGGUAAGAGUGGACCCUCUUCUCUCUCUUGCAGAAUGUCCCCAUUCCAAGCUACUACCUGGCCCACCGAGCCCUCCAGGGGUCUUGAGUGCCUCGCUCACUGGGUGCUUCACUCGGCGCCACCGGCAGCCCUGUGCUUCCUUGCACUGGGCAAGCAGUGGAGCAGAAGAGAGGCAAGGCUAAUGGCAAGGGUAGGCCUUCGGGAAGUGAAGCUCAAGGAGGAAUUCGGCUUUGGGAAGACCAUAGGGAGGUGGAUUCUUAAGGUAGGGGAAGGUAGAUUCUGCCUGCUGCUUCUCAAUUAUCCCCUGGUGCAUAGGUGGUAGCAAAUGCCUGGCAAGCCUUUCUGUAGUAGACCUUCACUAGAUUGUACCUCCAAUCCUAGGGGGGAGGGAGGGCAGCCAGGAUCUCCCCAAGACCUUGUGUCAGGGAGAGUACUGAUGGGGAGGCCUCCGCCCUGAGCGCUGAUGGGUGCAGGGGCCCCUCACAAACUGGCUGAGACCAGCCUCUGCGGAGGCCCAGCAACAAAAAGGGUGUAGUCCAAAGGAAACCUUGGUGAUGGGUAUGUGUGUGUGUGAACUUGCAGAGCGUGUGAGAGAGAGAGAGAGAGAGUGAAUGCGGUGUUUUAAUCUUUGCAAGGGCAGUUUCCUGCAGUAGGAGGAGAAACCACUAAGCUUUCCAUGCUGUUAGGAACUGCUUUUCCCCAUGAAUGGCCCUCUUGGCUGCACCCCUGGUUGUGGAAAAUUUGCUUGCACUCCCAGGCCUGCAUGCAAUUCCUGGGCUGCUUCUGCCCUCUCCUGGGCUCUGCUGAUAGCUUCCAACCUGAACGUGUCAGGCAGGCAUUGGCCCAGCAGGGGGAGCCUCCAGACGGAGGCUAUUUCCCAAGCCCGGCUGGAGGACCCCCUUGAGCAGAGAGCUGUUUAAAUAAGCACAGCACGGGAACUCAGAAGACAAGGAAGCUGCUGGAAAACGACUUUCUGUAGAAAGAAGCUAUGCCUGCCUUGUGUUCCAGAAGUAACAGGCGGUGUUUACUGGCUGCCCCUGAGCUCAGGGCCUCGCCUCCUUUCCAUCCAUCCUUUCCUCUUCUCACAUCAGGGCGCUCGGGCCAGGCCGCUGAGCAGAGCACUUUUACAAAGUCCCUCUCGCUUUGUCUAGUUCCAUACUGGUCGCAGCUCUGCUGGCAGGGCUGGGGCUCCGGGGGCAAACCAGCCCACACUCCAGUUGCUACGGGCAUUAUGAAGAGCGGUGGCAACCGGGAAUGUAUCUGGCUCCCCGGCCCCACACGCUUGGCCCAAGGGAGGAGCCUGGGGAAGGGCUUCCAGGAAAGGGUUCCUGCCUGCCCUGGAGGAAGGCCCCUCUCCGGGUGGGCUGGGGGCCUCCAGUGAUUUGCCGGUGCCCAUCUUAAAAGAAUCCUUAACCAACUUGUGACUGACACUGCUGCAGGAAAAGAAAUCCUUCGGCAGCAGCACAGCUCCUGUGCUAGGAGGGCAUCUUGCCUGGUGUUUGUUUUUUUGUUUUUGUGCAUAUUUUUCCGAAGUGGAAAUUGGAAUUUUCCCCCAUUAUAAUCCUAAACUCUUUAAAAACGAGGGGAAAAAAAAGUAAUGAAGGGAGAAAAUGUUCCCUUGAGAAAUACAUGCUUUCAAGAGUAAAACCAGUUUUUACUCGUGAAAGGGGAAACACUACUUUUUAUGCCAGUAAACACCUCAUUGAUUCCGUGUAUGUGAUUUGAUUUGCACAUGUGAAAGUGGAGACAUUUUUUGCGUUUUUGCUUAGAUGGGGUUUUUGUCACUGCUCAUAGUUUGCUUUUGGUGUGUGCUGUAUGUUUGGAAAUACUAGGAGUUGUUUGUUUGAUAUUUAUUAUUUCUCUGAUGUGCCUUUUCACUUUCCUUUGGGGUUGGUUUUUAGAAUCUGGCUGCUCUUGAGGGAAGAUUUCUCCAGCUUGGAGAGAGGACAUGUUUUUUGUCACUGCAGAUGCUCAGACCGGGCAUCAAAAUUGCCCUCCAUGCCACAGUAUACGUACGCAUAUACCCCACGUGCCAUGAGAACCCCAAGAGAAGGGCUGGCUUCCUCCAGACCAGCCACGCUCUCCUCAGCUGCUCACCCAUGCCUUUGGGUGCAUCUGGGGACUGCUGGUUGCCAGGUGCCCGGGGGCCUGCACUGGCUGCCACCCAGGCACUUGGGAGGUGUGGCUGGGGCAGACCAGCCCUAUCUGCGGGGUUGCACUGAAGGGGAGCAGGCCCAGCUGAGCUCAUAAGCAGCACUGGCCUAAAAGCACUAUCUAGUUAGCAUCAUACAGGGGAAAGAUCAUGAACCCCCCUUUUUUGUUACCUUGGUGAGCGCAGGACUUACUAGUGGCGACUCCCUUUGGGAGCAGAGCCCCAGUGCAGCUCUCUGGUAGUGACGGCGUAAAUGCCUCCCGUUGGACUGAAACCGUGUGCUGUUUAGGCGGGUUUGUGCGUUCUAGACCCACCAAGGCAGGCCACCCCGUGUCUCCAAGGUGCAUAUAAAAGGGACCUCGCCACCCACCCACAUUCCCCCCAAAUUCUUGAUUUUAAAAAAGGUUUAUUUUGUUAACGACGGGCUCUGUUGUGUGUGAUAUCCCAAGCCUGGAUUGUUUUAUUUAUUUAAAAGUAUUGGAAGCUCCAUAUUGGCUUCUUUCUAAUCCCAUUCAUCCCUGUGGGGCUGCAGAGCACCUUCGCGUGAAGAGGUAGAUAGACAUAGACUCCUGCUUUUUUAGGAAAGUGGGAACUACCUAAAGGCUGAGGCUAAGUUCUUUUCGUACUUGUUGGCUUCAACAGCAAUGGACAGUCACAUUUUUUAUAGCAAAAGGCCAAAUUAGCUGUAUAGUCUGGAUGCAGAAAUAAAUUGCCCUAGCUUUGUCCUUAGCACUUAGGGUUUUUGUGAGGAUUCAGUGUUUAGCAGUGUCGGGCACAUAGUAAGCCUAGUCAAUGUUAAUAUUGUUAUCAUCAUUAGAAUUUCAUACACUUUGAGAAAUACAGAGCUGAGCUCACACCCUACCUGUUGAGUAAUAUCUACAUGGAGAUAUCGUUCCAAAGUGAUGUACUAGCACAGGAAUUACUGGUUUAAGAUGUUCAUGUUCCGUGCCCACCCUGCUGGUUGGAACAUUGCUGUAUCCCUGAAUGGACUGAUUUGAAAAUAUGCCAGUUGAAACCAGGCUCAAGAAUUUGUAAACUGGCAAUGAAAAAAAGGGUGGCCUUUGGCCACAUACUGGCCCUCACACCAUGGAGGUCUUCUGGAUGACUCCUGGGUUUGUCUUUGCAAAACUUUUUAAUCCACAAAUUGAGUUCUGAUACACCCUGAAAAUCAGAGUUAAUUAUGGUCCUCUGAAAUAGGAGACUUUGUUUUUUAUUUAAAAAGAAUAAACAGUGGAGUUUCUGCCUUUCCCAGGAAGUCCCUCUGUUGUCCCCUGCUGGCCAGGGAGGCCCCUCCACAGACCAAUCCUCAGGGACCAGACUCCUGGGCUGGUUAGCUGUCACUUAUUUCUGUUGGUCCUCGUCCCAGAGAAGACCCAGCUCCCCAAAGCCCAGCCAAGACUCCCUCCGGGUGGGGGUGGGAGGGGUGCAGCACCCUUCAGAGGUUCAGUGAUGUUUUCCUGAUCACCAAAAAUACCAGUUCACUUUUUUGUAUGAUUGGGCAUUCAGCCUCUUCCCUAAUAUCUAGAGUUCUGUCUCCUGUCCUGUCUCGGCCUAACUGGAUAGAUUAUAGUUGUGGAAUAUGGAGAAAUUUGCUAGACUCCAGUAUCUUUUUCAAGUUCCUUUGGAUCCUCUUCGACUGAAUCAGUAGUCGUCUUCUGUGGAUGUAAGUUUGAAAUUUACCUUCUUCUAAGCAUCACCCCCCCCCAAUCCCCAGGUUUUGUGCAGCCUUAAGAUCCUCACACCCUCCGUCACACAGCUGGUGAGGGGUGGAAGGGGGGGCCAUAUGCUCACGCAUGGGUGGCCCUUCUGUGGGUGGCACUGAGGGAGCACUCCAGGUGCGGGAGGUAGAGCGGCCUCACUGGAACCUUAGCACAGUCUGCCAGCUCUGCCAAAGUGGAGAUGGAGAACACUUGAGAAGCAUUUUGCUCACUGCCCCAGUAUUAACAGGGCAAUCACGGAACAAUCGAUGCCAAAGGAGAUGGUGAUGUCCUUGCUUCUGUAGCUGCUGUCACAACCUUGAUGUCUUUAGGCUAAUGGCUGUUUGCGUCUGUCUUCAGCUCCUGGUACAACCACUUUCUACUGUUCACUUCUGGGGUUAAGUAGUGCAGGAUUCUGCAAAUAAGGUGUCGCUGUCCAAAUGUACUGUACCGGCAUAGAGAGCACUGCUUUGUUUUCCACUGUUGUAGAGAAAACUAGGGAGAACUUUAUUUUUCAAUAAAUUUUUCUUGUGUCACAGGUGGAAGUGAUUUUUGGGGGGAGGGGGCUGGGAAGCAGGGUCACCUACGGAACAAAGCUCGGCCACUGUCCUGCUGGUGUCCACGGACCACAUUACAUCGUUUGUGAAAGUGCUGCAAAUGCUGAUGGGAAGACUUUCCCUUGUACCAAGUGACCAGCCCAUAGAACACGCAAGAUGCUUGGAGGAGGAGCCUCGCCGAAAGCAUCAGAGUGAAAUAAGGCAAAUAUGGUGAGGCCAAUGAGCACGCCGAUGCUGCCGUCCAGAUACCAGACUGCUGCGUUAUGCUUGAAGACCUCUGCACUCAGAAGAAUGGAGAAGCCCAUGACACCCCCCACCAGGGAGUUAAAUCCUGAAAGAGAAGCAGAGACAUGGCAGUGUCAAGGGAACUGUCUUCACCACCAAGAAAACUACCCAAAUGUUCCACAUUCCAGAGCACACACAGGAAGGACGGUACCCUCUCCGAAAGAGAGCCUCCUUGAGUCACCUGAGAAUUUUCACUCUCCAGGAAGAGAAGUGCAAAGUCUACAAUUAACUAUGUUUGCAGAAUGACUAUGAAAACAAAACUGCAGUUCAUAGACACCAUCACCUUUCAUGUCACUUCAUUUGGGACCCUCUCAGGAAGGUGAGGCUUUGGAGCGGCUCCCAGGGGUCUCGCUGUGGCGCAAGCCACGUUUCUCACCUGCCUCAGUGUCAUGAUGACCCAGCAACUGGUCUGCUUCUGUCUCAGGGCACUUCCGCCUACAUAAUCCAUACCUCUUCUGAACUCCAAGCAUGAGCAUUAAUCCACUGUUACCUCCAAAAUUCAUUCUCACCACCCCUCACCUGCACUGCUACAGUAGCCUAUUCACCACCACCCCAAUGUGCCUCCCAACCCACAAUCCAUUCCCCUCCCAGCAGCCAGGGAACACAGUGAUCUUGGGAAGUAAACAGCCAAAACCAAUAGAAA